GAAGCCAAAGAAGAUGGAAGGUAAUAAAAGAGGGAGAAAAAAGAUCGAUCGCACGAAGCACAACAGAAGAGAAAAAAAAACAACACAAGCAUACGCACAAAAAAAAUUUGUUUGUAGUGAUGUGAAUGAAGAAAUAAAUAAAUCCGUUUCAUAUCUGCUAAGGAAGCAUAUCGCUAAUGCAACAUUCUUCAAAUAGAUCGGUAAAUUUUGUUUGCGUUUGGUAUUGAACAAGCUAUGAACAUAAUUCUCUCGGUAGACAUUCAGUAAGCGAGGAAUAUAUCAAGUUUGAUUCUAAAUGCAUUAUUGUUUAGAAUCGAUGGAAAUGCACGAUUCACGGUAAUUUCACAAAGCGAGGCAUACAUUUGAAGAAGCCAAUUUUUAAAUAUUCACGAGUUCGAUGCAUAUGGUUUAGUAGAAAUUGUAGUAUUGUACGGUAAGUACA